AGCAUAUCAAAAAGCGGAGGAAAAGAAACCAACUGGCAUUGCCCUAGUAACGGCGAGUGAAGCGGCAACAGCUCAAAUUUGAAAUCUGGCCCCUUUGGGGUCCGAGUUGUAAUUUGCAGAGGGUGCUUUGGCGUUGGCGGCGGUCUAAGUUCCUUGGAACAGGACAUCGCAGAGGGUGAGAAUCCCGUAUGUGGUCGCCUGCCUUCGCCGUGUAAAGCCCCUUCGACGAGUCGAGUUGUUUGGGAAUGCAGCUCUAAAUGGGAGGUAAAUUUCUUCUAAAGCUAAAUACCGGCCAGAGACCGAUAGCGCACAAGUAGAGUGAUCGAAAGAUGAAAAGCACUUUGGAAAGAGAGUCAAACAGCACGUGAAAUUGUUGAAAGGGAAGCGCUUGCAGCCAGACUUGCCUGUAGUUGCUCACCCGGGCUCCUGCCCGGGGCACUCUUCUGCAGGCAGGCCAGCAUCAGUUUGGGCGGUUGGAUAAAGGGCUCUGACACGUACUUCCCCUCGGGGUUGACAUACAGGGGAGCCGCAAUGCGACCAGCCCGGACUGAGGUCCGCGCAUCUGCUAGGAUGCUGGCGUAAUGGCUGUAAGCGGCCCGUCUUGAAACACGGACCC
rnacentral:rRNA from 1 species